CCUACGGGAGGCUGCAGUGGGGAAUAUUGGACAAUGGGGGCAACCCUGAUCCAGCCAUGCCGCGUGUGUGAAGAAGGCCCUCGGGUUGUAAAGCACUUUCAGUGAGGAAGAACGCCUGGUGGUUAAUACCCAUCAGGAAAGACAUCACUCACAGAAGAAGCACCGGCUAACUCCGUGCCAGCAGCCGCGGUAAUACGGAGGGUGCGAGCGUUAAUCGGAAUUACUGGGCGUAAAGCGCGCGUAGGUGGCUUGAUAAGCCGGUUGUGAAAGCCCCGGGCUCAACCUGGGAACGGCAUCCGGAACUGUCAAGCUAGAGUGCAGGAGAGGAAGGUAGAAUUCCCGGUGUAGCGGUGAAAUGCGUAGAGAUCGGGAGGAAUACCAGUGGCGAAGGCGGCCUUCUGGACUGACACUGACACUGAGGUGCGAAAGCGUGGGCAGCAAACAGGAUUAGAUACCCCAGUAGUC
rnacentral:rRNA from 1 species